CAGCAGGUAGUCUACUCGUCAUGUGUUCUUGGAGCUGUUAUGGUCAAGUUACCCAACGAGAAAACCGCUAACAAAGAAGACAAUGAAACGAAAUAUGAAGAUGAAGAGUCAAUGUUGGAAAUGGUCUUUCGCGUUCAACCCCAAGUUACUACGAGACGACCUGCGCUGGAUAAUCGUUGGUUGGUGAUGGCUCCUCAGGAUCAGGGAAGCAAAAUGUUCAUAAGCACCCACGAG